rnacentral:tRNA from 12 species
CUGUGGCUGAGUGGUCAAGGUGAUUACCUAGGAAUCGAUUGGUGUUCUUUCGCACAGGUUUGAGUCUUGUCAGU